AAAUGUUUGAUUCUUCCCCACUUUAAAAAAUAAUUUCACUAAUAUUCUCUUUAUGUUUCCGUUGCACUUCAGUCUAAUUCUUAAAAAAAUUAUGCUUUAAAAAUAAAUUAACUUUUCUUUUUUCUUUUCUUUUCUUUUUUUUUUUUUUUUUUUUUUGGGCUUCAGUCUUUCUGCCCCCGAUAACAGAAAAUCUCUUUUUCGUCUUAAAAAAAAAAAAAAAAAAAAAAAAAGCCUGUGGAAGACUCAGCAGAACCCAGGAAGCGCAGAAUUGGGAGAAAAGUCUUUGGCUGGGGCUGUUUCAAGUCUCUGGUUCAAUGGGCUGCUCGAAGCCAGGACUGGGUAAUUCUUUCCAGACGUCUUGACUUCUCCUUCCCCGCCGUUGUUGCCCUUCUGCCUCCUCCAACUUAAGGGGGUCUUAACAAGUGAGCUGGAUCUUCUGAGGGGUGGACUUCUUUGGAACUCGACAGGACCUUGAAGACUGGGUUCUUAGUCCUUAUCACAUAUAUGGGCUAUAAUGAAUAAGUCUAAACAGAAAAGUCGAAUAAACUGGAAAUGAUGCUUUCAUCACGUCGCACAAGGAGCUGUUUGGAUCAGAAGAUGACAUCCUUUCACCCAUCCCUUUCAGGUUUUGACAUCCUAAAAUGUACCUUAUGGAACCCAUACCUGUUAUGUUUUCACCUGUACAAGGCAACAGAGAAAACAUGGUAGUUUUUACUUGAGUAGAUGUGACUUAGCAAUAUGUUGUUGCUGACCUCCAUCCCACAGCACAAAACAUAUGUUUAUAUGUCUGACAGACAAAGUAUCCAGAACAAGGAUUUAGUACCUUCAUAAUCCUCUGUAUAUGUGGUUCUAGAACUUUUGGUAAAGAAACUCUUUAUACUCUUAUUAAUUAUUGAGAACCUCAAAAAAAGUUUAUAUGUUAUAUGUAUCAAUAUUUACCACAUUAGACAUUAAAGCUGACUUAAAAAGUUAAAAUACUUAAGUCAUUUGAAGUAAUAAUAAAUGCAGUUACAUACCAACUUAAUAACAUUUUGCGAAAAUAGCUAUUUUUCAAAACCUAAAGUGAGAAAAGUGGCAGUUUUCCAUUUUUGCAAAUCUCUUUGCUGUCUAGCUGAUAGAAGACAGCUGGAUUCUCCUAUUUGCUUUUGCAUUCAAUUGUUGUUUUGAUUGAAGUAUAUGAAAAAAAAUCUGGUGUCAUACACAUAUAUAAUUGGGAAAUGGAAGAGUAUUUACACAGGCUUUUUUAGAUAUUCUUCCUUUAUACUACAUCAAAACUUGAUAAGUUGCAAUGUUGUGAAUUGGCCCAGGGCUUGGCCCUCUGAAGAUUUGCUGAAAAUCACUGACAUGAAGUAGAUUAAUAGGAUAAAAGGCAUAUACAUUUAUUUAAUGUGUAUACACAGCGGCCUUUAGAAUGAAGACCCAAAGAUACAGAAGAAAUUGUCUGUUUUUAUGCUUAAGUUUAACAAAGAAUGGGCAGCCGUGUAGAGAUAGGAUAGGACAAAAAGGGCAUAAUCUAAUGCUAGCUGACUGAGUGAGGAAGCCCAGCAAGGCCUGUCAGUGUCUCCUCAGUAUGAGUGAAUUUUGUGUACUCUGAUAAUACAUUAAAAUCUGUUUAUGUACUCUGAUAACA
rnacentral:lncRNA from 1 species